GCCUCGGUAGCUCAGUUGGUAGAGCAGCUGACUCUUAAUCAGCGGGUCCAAGGUUCGAGUCCUUGCCGAGGCA
rnacentral:tRNA from 1 species